AUAUAUUAUCUCUUAGCAUUUGUUUUAGCCAAAGUCCAUCGUCCUCUAAACAGUUUGCAACAUCAAAUAAUGUAACAAUUUCAUAUGACAGACUAUAUUCAUAGUGAACAUUGGAACCGUUGGACACAAUUCACAAAAACCGUGGAACAAAAUUGAUAUUACACAAGAAAUCUUAAUGUUACAACCAAUCUUUCUUUUGGACUUAUACUAUCGUAGGAUAGUAUCCUGCUUUUGAAUCAACGGUGUCACAAGGUUUAAUAUUAGGUCAAACGAUCUCGAUUCCAUUUAUAGAUAAUUUCUGAAGUCUGCUGGUUCUAAAUCACUCAUAAUGUUCAUAUUUGCUAUCUUUCCGCGGAGCAAUAAAUAUUUCUUCACCCA